rnacentral:rRNA from 1 species
GAGUUUGAUCGUGGCUCAGGACGAACGCUGACGGUGUGCUUUAGGCAUGCAAGUCGAACGAGAAAACCCUUCGGGGUUAGUAAAGUGGCGAACGGGUGAGUAACACGUGGGCAACCUGCCCCUCGCAGGGGGACAACCGGAGGAAACUCCGGCUAAUACCCCGUAAGCUCUCAGGGUCGCAUGGCCUUGUGAGGAAAGGUAGCUUCGGCCAUCCGGCGAGGGAUGGGCCCGCGGUGCAUUAGCUAGUUGGUGGGGUAACGGCUCACCAAGGCAACGAUGCAUAGCUGGUCUGAGAGGAUGAUCAGCCACACUGGGACUGAGACACGGCCCAGACUCUUACGGGAGGCAGCAGCCAGGAAUCUUGGGCAAUGGGCGAAAGCCUGACCCAGCAACACCGUGUGGGCGAUGAAGGCCUUAGGGUCGUAAAGCCCUGUUGAUAGGGACGAAGGGCGAAGGGUUAAUAGCCCCUAGCUUGACGGUACCUUUCGAGGAAGCCCCGGCUAACUACGUGCCAGCCGCCGCCGUAAC